CGCCACCGCAGCCACCUCAGCCACGGGCACUAUGGCAUCUGGAGUUACAGUGAAUGAUGAAGUCAUCAAAGUUUUUAAUGAUUUGAAAGUAACAAAAUCUUCUACACAGGAGGAGAUCAAAAAAAGAAAGAAAGCAGCUCUCUUCUGCUUAAGUGAUAACAAAAGACAAAUAAUUGUAGAGGAAGCCAAGCAGAUCUUGGGCUCCUGAAAGUGUACCGUUAAAAAGCAAGAUGAUUUAUGCUAGCUCUAAAGAUGCCAUUAAAAAGAAAUUUACAGGUAUUAAACAUGAGUGGCAAGUAAAUGGCUUGGACGAUAUUAAGGACCGCUCGACACUGGGAGAGAAACUGGGAGGCAGUGUUGUAGUUUCCCUUGAAGGAAAGCCACUAUAAAAUAAUAGCCAGGUGCCAUUUGAUCUUAAGGUGCUUACAUUUAUCUCUCCAGCUCAGUCCACUAGAAUUGUGUUAGGUUUUGUUUUUUUUGUUUAUUCCCUUUCCACUGGUCCUGUUCAACACAGUGAGUGAGUGACUAUAAGAAGCCUGUCGGUAUUGCCAUUAGACUGUUUCAUACGGUUACUUUUCUGUAGAGCCCAAGGAAUGUCUUCCCGUCUUAUUUUAGCCAAAACAACUGGUUCCAUGCCUUCUUUG